AUUGAACGCUGGCGGCAUGCCUUACACAUGCAAGUCGAACGGCAGCACGGGAGCAAUCCUGGUGGCGAGUGGCGAACGGGUGAGUAAUAUAUCGGAACGUGCCCAGUCGUGGGGAUAACGUAGCGAAAGCUACGCUAAUACCGCAUACGAUCUAUGGAUGAAAGCGGGGGAUCGCAAGACCUCGCGCGAUUGGAGCGGCCGAUAUCAGAUUAGGUAGUUGGUGAGGUAAAGGCUCACCAAGCCGACGAUCUGUAGCUGGUCUGAGAGGACGACCAGCCACACUGGGACUGAGACACGGCCCAGACUCCUACGGGAGGCAGCAGUGGGGAAUUUUGGACAAUGGGCGCAAGCCUGAUCCAGCAAUGCCGCGUGCAGGAUGAAGGCCUUGGUUGUAACUAGCUUUGUACGGAACGAACGGUAGAGCUCUAAUACAGUUGUCGUAAUGACGGUACCGUAAG
rnacentral:rRNA from 1 species